UACGGAGGGGGGCUAGCGUUGUUCGGAAUUACUGGGCGUAAAGCGCACGUAGGCGGCUUUGUAAGUUAGAGGUGAAAGCCCGGGGCUCAACUCCGGAAUUGCCUUUAAGACUGCAUCGCUAGAAUUGUGGAGAGGUAAGUGGAAUUCCGAGUGUAGAGGUGAAAUUCGUAGAUAUUCGGAAGAACACCAGUGGCGAAGGCGACUCGCUGGACAAGUAUUGACGCUGAGGUGCGAAAGCGUGGGGAGCAAACAGG
rnacentral:rRNA from 1 species